UCUUGGAAUAUAUUAAAAUGUCAUCGAUGAAGAUUAUCACGAACUUGUCGUGAUAAUCUUCAUCGAUGACAUUUUAAUAUAUU
rnacentral:pre_miRNA from 1 species